rnacentral:tRNA from 1 species
GUAGUCUAGCGGUUAGAACGCUGGCCUUGUAAUCCUGGAGUCUCGGGUUCGAUUCCCGGC